AUGUAUGUUACUAAUGUGCGUAGAGAUGAAAGGUUUCAAAACCUGAAAAAUCUGUGUCAACUUUCAGUUGUGCUUGUGGAGACAAACAAGCAUGAACAAUAUCAUAUUGUUUACAAGCUUCUUAAGUUGGUAUUGAUUCUGCCAGUAGCUACUGCUAGUGUUGAAAGGGUAUUCUCUUUAAUGAGUCAUGUAAAGAAUAAGCUAAGGAGAAAAAUGGGUGAUGAAUAUUUGAACAAUUGUUUGGUUACAUUUGUUGAGAGAGAACUUUUCAAUCAAGUGAACGAUGAAGAUGUCAUUAAUCUCUUCCAAAAAGGCGACCGCAAAGUUAUAUUGUAA
rnacentral:rRNA from 1 species